rnacentral:rRNA from 1 species
ACUGUGGUAAUUCUAGAGCUAAUACAUGCACCCAAGCCCCGACUCGGGGGGCAACUCUCGAGAAAGGGCGCUUUUAUUAGAUCAAAACCAGUCGAGAGCUUCGGCUCUCGUUAAGUUUGGUGACUCUGGAUAACUUCACGCUGAUCGCACGGUCUUCGCACCGGCGACGAUUCUUUCAAAUGUCUGCCUUAUCAACUGUCGAUGGUAGGUUAUGCGCCUACCAUGGUUGCAACGGGUAACGGGGAAUCGGGGUUCGAUUCCGGAGAGGGAGCCUGAGAAACGGCUACCACAUCCAAGGAAGGCAGCAGGCGCGCAAAUUACCCACUCCCGGCACGGGGAGGUAGUGACGAAAAAUAACGAUACGGGACUCUUCCGAGGCCCCGUGAUUGGAAUGAGUACACUUUAAAUCCUUUAACGAGGACCCAUUGGAGGGCAAGUCUGGUGCCAGCAGCCGCGGUAACUCCAGCUCCAAUAGCGUAUAUUAAAGUUGUUGCGGUUAAAAAGCUCGUAGUCGGAGUUCUGUCUUCGGCCGAGGGGGGAUUCUGCCUACACGGUAUGAGUCUCGUUCCCUUUGGGUGUGCGGUGUCAAAGCCGUGCACUCUUAACGGUCGGACAAGUCCGUCGGAGUGUGGUUAUUGUUGGAAGGGCAACCGACCAAUGAGGCCACCGUAAUCGUUCGGGGUGCCUUUAAUCGGGUGUCUCGAGCGGCCGACAUAGUUUACUUUGAACAAAUUAGAGUGCUCAAAGCAGGUGACUACCGCCUGAAUAGUACAGCAUGGAAUGAUGAAAGAGGACCUCGGUCUGAUUUUGCUGGUCUUUAACGGUCGGGCUUCGGCCCGGCCUAUGCAGACCCGAGGUAAUGGUCAAUAGAGACGGACGGGGGCAUCCGUACUGCGGCGACAGAGGUGAAAUUCUUGGACCGCCGCAAGACGAACGACAGCGAAGGCAUUUGCCAAGAAUGUUUUCCUUGAUCAAGAACGAAAGUUAGAGGUUCGAAGGCGAUCAGAUACCGCCCUAGUUCUAACCAUAAACGAUGCCAACUAGCGAUCCGCCGGUGUUACUCCCAUGACUCGGCGGGCAGCUUCCGGGAAACCAAAGUCUUUGGGUUCCGGGGGAAGUAUGGUUGCAAAGCUGAAACUUAAAGGAAUUGACGGAAGGGCACCACCAGGAGUGGAGCCUGCGGCUUAAUUUGACUCAACACGGGAAACCUCACCAGGCCCGGACACUGGAAGGAUUGACAGAUUGAGAGCUCUUUCUUGAUUCGGUGGGUGGUGGUGCAUGGCCGUUCUUAGUUGGUGGAGCGAUUUGUCUGGUUAAUUCCGAUAACGAACGAGACUCUAGCCUGCUAAAUAGGUGCCGGGUUUUU